AAACAAGAAACAAAUAAUUGUAUUUAAUUUCGACUUAAAUUUUUGGUGAUUAAAUUUUCACCCUUGUUUA
rnacentral:tRNA from 1 species